UGGGGAAUAUUGCGCAAUGGAGGGAACUCUGAUGCAGCGACGCCGCGUGAGUGAUGAAGGAAUUCGUUUCGUAAAACUCUGUUCUAUGGGAAGAAAAGGACUGUACCAUAGGAGAAAGCUCCGGCUAAAUACGUGCCAGCAGCCGCGGUAAUACGUAUGGAGCGAGCGUUGUCCGGAAUUAUUGGGCGUAAAGGGUGCGCAGGCGGCUUUACAAGUUGGAUGUGAAAUAUUGUGGCUCAACCACAAACGUGCAUCCAAAACUGCAAAGCUUGAGUUAAGGAGGGGUAAGUGGAAUUCCUUGUGUAGCGGUGGAAUGCGUAGAGAUCAGGAGGAAUACCGGUGGCGAAGGCGACUUACUGGACUUAAACUGACGCUCAGGCACGAAAGCGUGGGGAGCAAACAGG
rnacentral:rRNA from 1 species